AGCGAACGCUGGCGGCAGGCUUAACACAUGCAAGUCGAGCGGGCACUUUCGGGUGUCAGCGGCGGACGGGUGAGUAACGCGUGGGAACGUGCCCUCUGGUUCGGAAUAACUCAGGGAAACUUGAGCUAAUACCGGAUACGCCCUUUUGGGGAAAGGCUUGCUGCCGGAGGAUCGGCCCGCGUCUGAUUAGCUAGUUGGUGAGGUAACGGCUCACCAAGGCGACGAUCAGUAGCUGGUCUGAGAGGAUGAUCAGCCCCACUGGGACUGAGACACGGCCCAGACUCUUACGGGAGGCAGCAGUGGGGAAUAUUGGACAAUGGGCGCAAGCCUGAUCCAGCCAUGCCGCGUGAGUGAUGAAGGCCUUAGGGUUGUAAAGCUCUUUUAUCCGGGACGAUAAUGACGGUACCGGAGGAAUAAGCCCCGGCUAACUUCGUG
rnacentral:rRNA from 1 species